AUACGGAAGGUCCGGGCGUUAUCCGGAUUUAUUGGGUUUAAAGGGAGCGCAGGCGGAGAUGCAAGCGUGACGUCAAAUUUCGGGGCUCAACCCCGUCUCGCGUCGCGAACUGCGUCCCUUGGUUGCGGGAAGGGGAGGCGGAACUCGUGGUGUAGCGGUGAAAUGCAUAGAUAUCACGAAGAACUCCGAUCGCGAAGGCAGCCUUCCGGCCCGUCAACGACGCUCAUGCUCGAAGGUGCGGGUAUCAAACAGGAUUAGAUACCCUGGUAGUCCGUACAGUAAACGAUGGACACCCGCGGUUUGGCCUGUAUGGCUGAGCCGCCAAGCGAAAGCGUUAAGUGUCCCACCUGGGGAGUACGCCGGCAACGGUGAAACUCAAAUGAAUUGGCGGGG
rnacentral:rRNA from 1 species